AGUUACCAGCACGUUAUGGUGGGCGACUCUAAGGAGACUGCCGGUGCAAACCGGAGGAAGGUGGGGAUGACGUCAAGUCAUCAUGGCCCUUACGGCCUGGGCUACACACGUGCUACAACGGUCGGUACAAAGGGUUGCCAAGCCGCGAGGUGGAGCUAAUCCCAUAAAACCGAUCGUAGUCCGGAUCGCAGUCUGCAACUCGACUGCGUGAAGUCGGAAUCGCUAGUAAUCGUGAAUCAGAAUGUCACGGUGAAUACGUUCCCGGGCCUU
rnacentral:rRNA from 1 species